rnacentral:rRNA from 1 species
UUCUGGGAGGAUUCUACAGAUUGAGAGCUCUUUCUUGAUUCGGUGGAUGGUGGUGCAUGUCCGUUCUUAGUUGGUGGAGCGAUUUGUCGGGCUAGUUCCGAUAACGAACGAGACUCUAAUCUAUUAAAUGGGUGCGUGGUUCUCUGCACCUUGUACCUUUCUCGGAGGGACAAGUGGCUCCUAGCCGCACGAAACAGAGCGAUGACAGGUCUGUGAUGCCCUUAAAU